UAUGUAGGGGGCAAGCGUUAUCCGGAAUUACUGGGUGUAAAGGGUGCGUAGGCGGCUAUGCAAGUCAGAUGUGAAAACUCAGGACUCAACCUUGAGAUUGCAUCUGAAACUGCGUAGCUAGAGUGUGGGAGAGGAAAGUGGAAUUCCGAGUGUAGCGGUGAAAUGCGUAGAGAUUCGGAGGAACACCAGUAGCGAAGGCGGCUUUCUGGACCAUAACUGACGCUGAGGCACGAAAGCGUGGGGAGCAAACAGG
rnacentral:rRNA from 1 species